UACGGGGGGCGCAAGCGUUGUUCGGAUUUACUGGGCGUAAAGGGCGCGUAGGCGGUCAGCACAAGUCAGUUGUGAAAUCUCCGGGCUUAACUCGGAAAGGUCAACUGAUACUGUGCGACUAGAGUGCAGAAGGGGCAACUGGAAUUCUCGGUGUAGCGGUGAAAUGCGUAGAUAUCGAGAGGAACACCUGCGGCGAAGGCGGGUUGCUGGGCUGACACUGACGCUGAUGCGUGAAAGCCAGGGGAGCGAACGGG
rnacentral:rRNA from 1 species